UGUCCAGUAACUCCUAUCCCUACCUCCCCGUGGUGCCGAGUAACCGUAGGGAAGAUCGGGUAACCAACCCUGGUGGAACCUUGGUCGUAUGCUGACAGGGAAGG
rnacentral:ribozyme from 1 species